GACGAACGCUGGCGGCGUGCUUAAUACAUGCAAGUCGAACGAGAGCGACCGGUGCUUGCACUGGUCAAUCUAGUGGCGAACGGGUGAGUAACACGUGGGUAACCUGCCCAUCAGAGGGGGAUAACAUCCGGAAACGGAUGCUAAAACCGCAUAGGUCUUCGAACCGCAUGGUUUGAAGAGGAAAAGAGGCGCAAGCUUCUGCUGAUGGAUGGACCCGCGGUGCAUUAGCUAGUUGGUGAGGUAACGGCUCACCAAGGCCGUGAUGCAUAGCCGACCUGAGAGGGUGAUCGGCCACAUUGGGACUGAGACACGGCCCAAACUCCUACGGGAGGCAGCAGUAGGGAAUCUUCCGCAAUGGACGCAAGUCUGACGGAGCAACGCCGCGUGAGUGAAGAAGGUUUUCGGAUCGUAAAACUCUGUUGUUAGAGAAGAACAAGUGCUAGAGUAACUGUUAGCGCCUUGACGGUAUCUAACCAGAAAGCCACGGCUAACUACGUG
rnacentral:rRNA from 1 species